GACAGAGGUGCCAAGCGUUAGGCGGAAUCACUGGGCUUAAAGCGUGUGUAGGUGGAACGUUAAGUGCCUUGUGAAAUCCCGCGGCUCAACCGCGGAACUGCUGGGCAUACUGGCGUUCUUGGGCCAAUCAGGGGUCGUCGGAACAAACGGUGGAGCGGUGAAAUGCGUAGAUAUCGUUUGGAACGCCGAAGGCGAAAGCAGACGACUGGGGAUUGCGCCGACACUGAGACACGAAAGCCAGGGGAGCGAACGGG
rnacentral:rRNA from 1 species